rnacentral:tRNA from 1 species
AGUAAGGUCAGCUAAUUAAAGCUCUUGGGCCCAUACCCCAAAUAUGUAGGUUAAAAUCCUACCUUUGCUA